GCGCAGCAGGCGAGAAUCCUCCGCAAUGCGGGAAACCGUGACGGGGUCACCCCGAGUGCCACCCGAAUGAGGGUGGCUUUUCCCCGGUCUAAAAAGCCGGGGGCAAUAAGCGGGGGGCAAGUCUGGUGUCAGCCGCCGCGGUAAUACCAGCCCCGCGAGUGGUCGGGACGUUUAUUGGGCCUAAAGCGUCCGUAGCCGGCUCGGUAAGUCCCUCCUUAAAUCCACGGGCUCAACCCGUGGGCUGGGAGGGAUACUGCCGGGCUAGGGGGCGGGAGAGGCCGAGGGUACUCCCGGGGUAGGGGCGAAAUCCGUUAAUCCCGGGAGGACCACCAGUGGCGAAGGCGCUCGGCUGGAACGCGCCCGACGGUGAGGGACGAAAGCUGGGGGAGCAAAGGGGAUUAGAUACCCGUGUAGU
rnacentral:rRNA from 1 species